UACGUAGGGUGCGAGCGUUGUCCGGAAUUAUUGGGCGUAAAGGGCUCGUAGGCGGUUUGUCGCGUCGGGAGUGAAAACGCCGUGCUUAACACGGCGCUUGCUUUCGAUACGGGCAGACUAGAGGUAUGCAGGGGAGAACGGAAUUCCUGGUGUAGCGGUGAAAUGCGCAGAUAUCAGGAGGAACACCGGUGGCGAAGGCGGGUCUCUGGGCAACAACUGACGCUGAGGAGCGAAAGCGUGGGGAGCGAACAGG
rnacentral:rRNA from 1 species